GACGAACGCUGGCGGCGCGCCUAACACAUGCAAGUCGAACGGAGUUUGAGAGAGCUUGCUUUUUCAAACUUAGUGGCGAACGGGUGAGUAACGCGUGAGUAACCUGCCCUGGAGUGGGGGACAACAGUUGGAAACGACUGCUAAUACCGCAUAAUGUGUUUUGGGGGCAUCCCUGAAACACCAAAGAUUUAUCGCUGAAAGAUGGGCUCGCGUCUGAUUAGCUAGUUGGUGGGGUAACGGCCUACCAAGGCGACGAUCAGUAGCCGGACUGAGAGGUUGAACGGCCACAUUGGGACUGAGAUACGGCCCAG
rnacentral:rRNA from 1 species